UACAGAGGUCUCAAGCGUUAUUCGGAUUCAUUGGGCGUAAAGGGUGCGUAGGUGGCGAUGUAAGUCUGGUGUGAAAUCUCGGGGCUUAACCCCGAAAUUGCAUUGGAUACUGCGUUGCUUGAGGAUUGUAGAGGAGAGUGGAAUUCACGGUGUAGCAGUGAAAUGCGUAGAUAUCGUGAGGAAGACCAGUUGCGAAGGCGACUCUCUGGGCAAUUCCUGACACUGAGGCACGAAGGCCAGGGGAGCAAACGGG
rnacentral:rRNA from 1 species